rnacentral:tRNA from 1 species
GCCCGGCUAGCUCAGUCGGUAGAGCAUGAGACCCUUAAUCUCAGGGUCCUGGGUUCAUGCCCCAUGUUGGGGG